rnacentral:sRNA from 1 species
AAUCCUGCGGGAGCUUGGGUGAAGGGAGGAAAGAGCAGAGAAUCGCCAAGAAAUCAGGGUGCUCAGCCAUCUGCAGGGAAGUCCCACCUGGCCAUCGUGCAGAAGGUAAACAACGAGGGUGAGGGUGACCCCUUCUACGAGGUCCUGGGCCUGGUCACCCUGGAGGACGUGAUCGAGGAGAUCAUCAAGUCGGAGAUCCUGGACGAGUCCGACAUGUACACUGACAACCGAAGCCGGAAGCGGGUGUCUGAGAAGAACAAGCGUGACUUCUCUGCCUUCAAGGAUGCGGACAAUGAGCUCAAAGUGAAAAUCUCCCCGCAGCUCCUCCUGGCCGCUCAUCGCUUCCUAGCCACGGAGGUCCCCCAGUUUAGCCCCUCCCUGAUAUCAGAGAAGAUCCUGCUGCGGCUACUCAAGUACCCAGAUGUCAUUCAGGAACUCAAGUUUGACGAGCACAAUAAGUACUACGCCCGCCAUUACCUGUACACCCGAAAUAAGCCGGCCGACUACUUCAUCCUCAUCCUGCAGGGGAAGGUGGAGGUGGAGGCAGGGAAGGAGAACAUGAAGUUUGAGACGGGCGCCUUCUCCUACUAUGGGACUAUGGCCCUGACCUCGGUCCCCUCCGACCGUUCCCCAGCCCACCCCACCCCACUCAGCCGCUCAGCCUCCCUCAGUUACCCAGACCGCACAGACGUCUCGACUGCAUCAACCUUGGCAGGCAGCAGCAACCAGUUCGGCAGCUCUGUCCUGG